rnacentral:misc_RNA from 1 species
AAGUCGUAACAAGGUUUCCGUAGGUGAACCUGCGGAAGGAUCAUUAAAGUAGCUGUGUGGGCUGUAUAGCCCCGCAACACUGUGUGAACACAACGACGCCUUCCCAGUCUUCGGGCUGGGGUAUUUAACGAAGAAAGUAUGGGCAGGCAAUAAUACAACUUUUAGCGAUGGAUCUCUUGGCUCUC